AUUGAACGCUGGCGGCAUGCCUUACACAUGCAAGUCGAACGGCAGCACGGGAGCAAUCCUGGUGGCGAGUGGCGAACGGGUGAGUAAUAUAUCGGAACGUGCCCAGUCGUGGGGAUAACGUAGCGAAAGCUACGCUAAUACCGCAUACGAUCUAUGGAUGAAAGCGGGGGAUCGCAAGACCUCGCGCGAUUGGAGCGGCCGAUAUCAGAUUAGGUAGUUGGUGAGGUAAAGGCUCACCAAGCCGACGAUCUGUAGCUGGUCUGAGAGGACGACCAGCCACACUGGGACUGAGACACGGCCCAGACUCCUACGGGAGGCAGCAGUGGGGAAUUUUGGACAAUGGGCGCAAGCCUGAUCCAGCAAUGCCGCGUGCAGGAUGAAGGCCUCGGUGUAACGU
rnacentral:rRNA from 1 species